GACGAACGCUGGCGGCGUGCUUAACACAUGCAAGUCGAACGGAAAGGCCCUGCUUUUGUGGGGUGCUCGAGUGGCGAACGGGUGAGUAACACGUGAGUAACCUGCCCUUGACUUUGGGAUAACUUCAGGAAACUGCGGCUAAUACCGGAUAGGAGCUCCUGCUGCAUGGUGGGGGUUGGAAAGUUUCGGCGGUUGGGAUGGACUCGCGGCUUAUCAGCUUGUUGGUGGGGUAGUGGCUUACCAAGGCUUUGACGGGUAGCCGGCCUGAGAGGGUGACCGGCCACAUUGGGACUGAGAUACGGCCCAGACUCCUACGGGAGGCAGCAGUGGGGAAUAUUGCACAAUGGGCGGAAGCCUGAUGCAGCAACGCCGCGUGCGGGAUGACGGCCUUCGGGUUGUAAACCGCUUUCGCCUGUGACGAAGCGUGAGUGACGGUAAUGGGUAAAGAAGCACCGGCUAACUACGUG
rnacentral:rRNA from 1 species